rnacentral:rRNA from 1 species
UACGGAGGGUGCAAGCGUUAAUCGGAAUUACUGGGCGUAAAGGGUGCGUAGGCGGACCUGCAAGUCAGGGGUGAAAUCCUGGAGCUCAACUCCAGAACUGCCUUUGAUACUGGAGAGCUUGAGUCCGGGAGAGGUGAGUGGAACUCCGAGUGUAGAGGUGAAAUUCGUAGAUAUUCGGAAGAACACCGGUGGUGAAGGCGGGUCUCCUGGGCCGAGGGCCGACGGCUGAGGCGCGAGAGCGGUGGGGAGCGAACCGG